CGGACGCUGAUUGGACCGCUUUGCAGCUCCUAGUUUUGUUUUGCCAGCUGUAGUUGGCUUUACAAAUAGCAAGAGACCCGAAAGACGCAGAUUGGCUUUUUAAAGACGGUUAAGCAGUUAAAGGAUUAAGAGACAAAAAGAAGAAAAAUAAUGUACCUUCCAUACUUCCGGGUUCCCAAGAUGGCCACCAAACGUCACUUUCACAUCUGGGUCCCUCUGAUGACGUCACUUCCAGCUCCAUCACAAUGAUGCCACUCCCGGCUCCAUCUCAAUGACAUCACAUUCAGUCUCCAGCAGAUGAUGUCACUUCCACCAUUACAUCACUUUUGGCUCCCUCUGAUGACAUCACUUCGUUACUUCCGUCUCCCUGUCACAGCGUUAUCUCCUGCCACAUCAUUUUCACCCACCAUUUUGUUAUUGUAUAUAAAUACCAUCUUUGUCAUUCACAAUCAUUAACUGCUGUAAAAAGUAUUUUGAUCACCUAUUUUUGCCUUUUUUUGCAUUCUUUGUCCAUUGGACAUUAUACGGGGACAGUCCCCAACUCUUUUCCUUUGUGGAAGCUGUCUUAUUUCAUUACAAGUUUAUCUAAUAUACUGAGCAGAGCACUAGCCACACCUUUUACCAGCAGUCUGUUCCUACCUUAUCUUCUCAUUUCAGUUUCUUUUUGCUUUUUAGCACUAAUGAAGCAGCAGUCACUGGAUGGUAGGGAAAUGUGAAACAAAAGACCAUUCUUAAUAGAAGCUUUUUACUUGAAAAAUAUACUGUUUGCCAUUGCGAAAGCUCUUUGUCAAGCACUUUUUUUGCGUUUUCUCUUGAUAUUCUGACUUUUCUUGCCUGUUUUUAUUUUUUCUUUGCUUCAGGUUUCCAGACACUGUCUGGUUUUGCUCAAGUUUAAACUGCUGUUGUUGUUAUUUUUGUAAUUUUUCAGUGUAUACUUCAUUGAUAAUUAAAUGAAUUUAAUGAUUGGCUUCCUCUGUUCCCAUUAAGUGUAGCUUGAUUAAAAUUGCAAGGUGUCAAUUAUGACAGAAGUCGCCAAGGGCAAUUUGAAGGCAAAAGGACUGCAUUCUGUUGCUCUAUGUAAAGGAUGAGGAAUGUUUUUUAGCGAGCAUAAAUGGUUUGUGAAUAUUUCACUUUGGGUUGGGUUGUACUGUAGAGGUAUAAAUGCAUAUAGCUUGACAAAGGAUUAACUUCCUUUUCUCACAAAAAUGUGUAAAUUGUUUUCAUUUUGUCAAUAAACAAGAACCAAGCCAUUUCUUUUUCAGCCAUUUA